ACGGGCCAGAUGAUAUCACCCAAAAGCCUAUUAACCAAAACUACAAUCAUAUGCCCGCCCACGGCACCUUUGAAUAGCCCGUUAGUUGCGGCAACUUUAACAGAGAGCUUCAUCUUCGAACAGUUGAUCACUCCACAGAUGGUAGCAGCUACAUCUCCAAUGAGCCACUGUGCAGAGGACUACAUCUUGAACCGGAUACACAUCCCCUGCCAAUCCCUUCACUUCACUUCGUGAAUCAGGAAGAGGGUUCAUCAUCCAACAUGCACAACGCCAGCUCUCCAUUGCAGAAGGCAAGCCUUGCUGGGCCAUCAACAGUCAUGAUGCCGAAACCAGAGCUCUCCUAGGGGGAUUGCACGCAGCGCUAUCAUAUGGUAUUGAUCAUCUUUUGGUAUUUUCAGACAGCGUAGACUUGCCCUUAAUGGAGUUUGCUAAUACAGAUAACCCGACCCAAUGGAUUAAUCAGCUCUACAGAAGCCAUUUACAACGACUAAUCUCCUCUUUUGCUUUUAUUCAGUUUGUACAUACAAGUAGGAAAAACAAUCAAGCGGCUCAUCUUUUUGCAUACAAUCACUGCACUGUGAUAUAUCCACCUCCCCUCGUGUAAGACUAUUCUAAGUAAUACAAGGCUGCUCUGUUUUGCAAAAGGAAAAAAAA